AAGUCUUGAGUUGAGUGAAAUGCUUGAUUCUUUAAGGACAAGUUGUGAUGGGGAGCGAAAUUAAGUAGCGAAGUUCCUGAUGUUACACUGCCAAGAAAAGCUUCUAGUGAGAAAUAAACUACCCGUACCGUAAACCGACACAGGUGGUCGAGGAGAAUAUCCUAAGGUGAGCGAGUGAACUCUCGUUAAGGAACUCGGCAAAAUGACCCCGUAACUUCGGGAGAAGGGGUGCUGACCGUCAGGUCAGCCGCAGUGAAUAGGCCCAAACAACUGUUUAUCAAAAACACAGGUCUCUGCAAAAUCGUAAGAUGACGUAUAGGGGCUGACGCCUGCCCGGUGCUGGAAGGUUAAGAGGAUGAGUUAGCGCAAGCGAAGCCCAGAAUUGAAGCCCCAGUAAACGGCGGCCGUAACUAUAACGGUCCUAAGGUAGCGAAAUUCCUUGUCGGGUAAGUUCCGACCCGCACGAAAGGCGUAAUGAUUUGGGCACUGUCUCAACGAGAGACUCGGUGAAAUUAUAAUACCCGUGAAGAUGCGGGUUACCCGCGACAGGACGGAAAGACCCCAUGGAGCUUUACUGUAGCUUGAUAUUGAGUGUUUGUACAGUUUGUACAGGAUAGGUAGGAGCCGUAGAAAUCGGAACGCUAGUUUCGAUUGAGGCGUUGGUGGGAUACUACCCUAACUGUAUGACCACUCUAACCCGCGCCACUUAGCGUGGCGGGAGACAGUGUCAGGUGGGCAGUUUGACUGGGGCGGUCGCCUCCUAAAGUGUAACGGAGGCGCUCAAAGGUUCUCUCAGAAUGGUUGGAAAUCAUUCGUAGAGUGUAAAGGUAUAAGAGAGCUUGACUGUGAGAUUGACAAAUCGAGCAGGGACGAAAGUCGGACUUAGUGAUCCGGUGGUUCCGUAUGGAAGGGCCAUCGCUCAACGGAUAAAAGCUACCCUGGGGAUAACAGGCUUAUCUCCCCCAAGAGUCCACAUCGACGGGGAGGUUUGGCACCUCGAUGUCGGCUCAUCGCAUCCUGGGGCUGUAGUCGGUCCCAAGGGUUGGGCUGUUCGCCCAUUAAAGCGGUACGCGAGCUGGGUUCAGAACGUCGUGAGACAGUUCGGUCCCUAUCCGUCGCGGGCGCAGGAAAUUUGAGAGGAGCUGUCCUUAGUACGAGAGGACCGGGAUGGACAUACCUCUGGUGUACCAGUUGUGCCGCCAGGCGCAUCGCUGGGUAGCUAUGUAUGGCAGGGAUAAACGCUGAAAGCAUCUAAGUGUGAAGCCCCCCUCGAGAUGAGAUUUCCCAUUCCUUUAUGGAAGUAAGACCCCUGAAAGAUGAUCAGGUAGAUAGGCUAGGAGUGGAAGUACAGCGAUGUAUGGAGCGGACUAGUACUAAUCGGUCGAGGACUUAACC
rnacentral:rRNA from 1 species